CCUACGGGUGGCAGCAGUGGGGAAUAUUGCACAAUGGGCGCAAGCCUGACGCAGCCAUGCCGCGUGUGUGAAGAAGGCCUUCGGGUUGUAAAGCACUUUCAGCGGGGAGGAAGGCGGUGAGGUUAAUAACCUCAUCGAUUGACGUUACCCGCAGAAGAAGCACCGGCUAACUCCGUGCCAGCAGCCGCGGUAAUACGGAGGGUGCAAGCGUUAAUCGGAAUUACUGGGCGUAAAGCGCACGCAGGCGGUCUGUCAAGUCGGAUGUGAAGUCCCCGGGCUCAACCUGGGAACUGCAUUCGAAACUGGCAGGCUAGAGUCUUGUAGAGGGGGGUAGAAUUCCAGGUGUAGCGGUGAAAUGCGUAGAGAUCUGGAGGAAUACCGGUGGCGAAGGCGGCCCCCUGGACAAAGACUGACGCUCAGGUGCGAAAGCGUGGGGAGCAAACAGGAUUAGAUACCCCUGUAGUC
rnacentral:rRNA from 1 species